rnacentral:rRNA from 1 species
CUCAGAUUGAACGCUGGCGGCGUGCCUAACACAUGCAAGUCGAACGCGAAAGUUCCUUCGGGAAUGAGUAAAGUGGCGAACGGGUGAGUAACACGUGGAUAAUCUACCUUAUACACAGGGAUAACAAUUGGAAACGAUUGCUAAAACCAGAUAAGCUGAAGACAUCGCAUGAUGAAGUCAGAAAAAAUUUAUUGGUAUAAGAGGAGUCCGCGUCUGAUUAGCUAGUUGGAGAGGUAAGAGCUCCCCAAGGCGACGAUCAGUAGCCGGCCUGAGAGGGUGGACGGCCACAUUGGGACUGAGACACGGCCCAAACUCCUACGGGAGGCAGCAGUGGGGAAUAUUGCACAAUGGGGGAAACCCUGAUGCAGCAACGCCGCGUGAAGGAAGACGGUUUUCGGAUUGUAAACUUCUAUCGAUAGGGAAGAAAGAAAUGACGGUACCUAAGUAAGAAGCCCCGGCUAACUACGUGCCAGCAGCCGCGGUAAGACGUAGGGGGCAAGCGUUAUCCGGAAUUACUGGGUGUAAAGGGUGAGUAGGUGGCAAUGCAAGUCAUAUGUGAAACCUAUGGGCUUAACCCAUAGCAUGCAUAAGAAACUGUGUAGCUAGAGUACAGGAGAGGUAAGCGGAAUUCCUAGUGUAGCGGUGAAAUGCGUAGAUAUUAGGAGGAACACCAGUGGCGAAGGCGGCUUACUGGACUGAAACUGACACUGAGUCACGAAAGCGUGGGGAGCAAACAGGAUUAGAUACCCUGGUAGUCCACGCUGUAAACGAUGAGUGCUAGGUGUCGGGGCGAAAGCCUCGGUGCCGGAGUAAACACAAUAAGCACUCCACCUGGGGAGUACGGCCGCAAGGCUGAAACUCAAAAGAAUUGACGGGGGCCCGCACAAGCGGUGGAGCAUGUGGUUUAAUUCGAAGCAACGCGAAGAACCUUACCAAGGCUUGACAUCCCUCUGACGAGUAUAGAGAUAUACAGUUCUUCUUCGGAAGACAGAGGAGACAGGUGGUGCAUGGUUGUCGUCAGCUCGUGUCGUGAGAUGUUGGGUUAAGUCCCGCAACGAGCGCAACCCUUAUGUUUAGUAGCUAGCAGGUAAAGCUGAGCACACUAGAGAGACUGCCGUGGAGAACACGGAGGAAGGUGGGGAUGACGUCAAAUCAUCAUGCCCCUUAUGUCUUGGGCCACACACGUGCUACAAUGGAUGCGAACAAAGUGAAGCAAAGCUGCGAAGUGGAGCAAAGCACAAAAAAGCAUUCUCAGUUCGGAUUGUAGUCUGCAACCCGACUACAUGAAGAUGGAAUCGCUAGUAAUCGCGAAUCAGAAUGUCGCGGUGAAUACGUUCCCGGGCCUUGUACACACCGCCCGUCACACCAUGGGAGU